rnacentral:rRNA from 1 species
AUUACCGAGUGUAGGGUUCCUAGCGAGCCCAACCUCCCACCCGUGUUUACUGUACCUUAGUUGCUUCGGCGGGCCCGCCAUUCAUGGCCGCCGGGGGCUCUCAGCCCCGGGCCCGCGCCCGCCGGAGACACCACGAACUCUGUCUGAUCUAGUGAAGUCUGAGUUGAUUGUAUCGCAAUCAGUUAAAACUUUCAACAAUGGAUCUCUUGGUUCCGGCAUCGAUGAAGAACGCAGCGAAAUGCGAUAACUAGUGUGAAUUGCAGAAUUCCGUGAAUCAUCGAGUCUUUGAACGCACAUUGCGCCCCCUGGUAUUCCGGGGGGCAUGCCUGUCCGAGCGUCAUUGCUGCCCAUCAAGCACGGCUUGUGUGUUGGGUCGUCGUCCCCUCUCCGGGGGGGACGGGCCCCAAAGGCAGCGGCGGCACCGCGUCCGAUCCUCGAGCGUAUGGGGCUUUGUCACCCGCUCUGUAGGCCCGGCCGGCGCUUGCCGAACGCAAAUCAAUCUUUUUCCAGGUUGACCUCGGAUCAGGUAGGGAUACCCGCUGAACUUAAGCAUAU